rnacentral:rRNA from 1 species
UACGAAGGGGGCUAGCGUUGCUCGGAAUUACUGGGCGUAAAGCGCACGUAGGCGGAUUGUUAAGUCGGGGGUGAAAUCCUGGAGCUCAACUCCAGAACUGCCUUCGAUACUGGCGAUCUCGAGUUCGGGAGAGGUGAGUGGAACUGCAAGUGUAGAGGUGAAAUUCGUAGAUAUUCGCAAGAACACCAGUGGCGAAGGCGGCUCACUGGCCCGAUACUGACGCUGAGGUGCGAAAGCGUGGAGAGCAAACAGG